CCGAACAGCUGUGUAAGAAGUGUGGCCGCACUCCGUACGGAAAUUAGUGCGGCCUUAAAAAUAAUAAAAACGCGUUUAUGAUUUAAGUUUUGCUUGAAUUACAAAAACAAAAUAAGGUGUAAAACAUCAAAAAAUUGGAAAAGACAAGGAAAAUGUUUUUUAUUUGUUGGCGAUGUGAAAAAAUAUGAUACAAUAUAAUUAAAGAAAUUUUCGCGCAUUUAGUGUGACCAUCUCGUGGGAGUUAUCGAUAUCGGCGUGAAAGGCCAUUUCAAAGUUUAAGUAAAAAUUUCAUUGUGUAAUAUAAACAAUCUUCUGGACCUACCAGAGGUACAAUUAAAACAGGAUUUCAAUGCAGACGCUAUAUUCGAGCGGAGUUUCAAUCCAUGUGUCAUACGGCCUGUCCAUCCGCCCCUCCCCGAAAGGAAGGGCUAAAGGAAUGGCCGCAGUAAAAGAAAAAAAAAGCUAGGCGGAGUGGCGCCAAAAUACAAGAAGAAGUAUUAGAUCAUUGUAAUGCCAUCAAAUAAGAUAAAAACACUACACCUUAUACUCCAGACACUAAUGGCUCCAUUCAAGUGAAUGUACACACAAAGCAAAGCGAGAACGGAACCACGACAACGCAUGUACAGUAGAGGGAUAACUUUAAAGGAUUACAAUAUGUACCUACGUACUCCCAAUUACGUAAAUACAUCCGCCUGUAUGUACAUACUAGUGCAGAAGUAUCUAGCUAGGGACGUGUCUUAUAGAGUCCUCUGCUUAAUGGAUUUCAAUUGGAACUGCAGAAAAAUAUCAAUAGAAGACGAAGCCUGUGUCUGUAGCCACCCUGUAGAGGCGUCACUUGAUUGUUCUUGUUGCUGUUGCUUGUUCAAGGGGCACACGUCAAUAAUUGCGCUUGAAAAGAAGUUAAGGAAAACACAAUCAAGCAGAAGCAGAAGCGGCAGCAGCAGCAGCAGUAGAGUGGCAAUGGUAGUGGCGGCGGCAGGAGGACCAAGAGGCAAGAGGCAGCCAAGCGGUGGAGGUCCUACCAAGAUCUCUGCAGUCAGUCGGUCCCCUUUCGAACUUUAAUGUGAAAAUCAUGCAAUGAACCAAAUUCAAACGGAAAUGAUUCACACUCCAGCUGAAACACAAUUCAAGUAGGGGAACGGAACCCCAGAACCCCCGACAACCAGAAGCAAAAGUACAAUAUAAAUAUAUGUACAUAGUCGUACAUACAUAUGUAUGUAUGUAUGUAUGUAUGUUGAUGCAGAAGGCGGAUGGACGGACGGGGGUCUCAAAUCGAAAUUGCGUUUUCAACAACAAUUGUUACAACAACAAUGACGCCAUUUGGAAGAACAAUAACAAUUUCACCCCCAUAAGAUGUCUAAGAGCGAGAGAGACAGGGACUGAGACUGAGACUGAGACCGGGUACCGAGUACCGAGUACCGAUGAAAGCAGAUGAAACACUCGAGGGAGGACCGACCGACCACCGCCACAUGUCGAGGAGCAUGUGCCCCCAGACAAAUGUCAACGCAAAUAUUUCACUUCCUGUUCUUUUUCCCAUUUAUUCGGAGAUUCCCCCGUUCGUUUGUUCGACUUGACUGCUAAGCUUCGACAAAAGGUUCAAAGGUCAAGGAUUUUCACGUUUAAUUAGACAUGGAUACGGUUUUUCAUCACCAUCACCAUCACCAGCAUGAGAAUCCAGCAUUCAGCAUCCAGCAUCCAGCAUCCGCGAGGGCGUUUGCGUAGGCGGCAACGGCGACGGCGACGACAAAGAAGCGGUAUUUAAAUUUCCAAUUAGCCCAGUGAGAGGUCGGAUGGGUGAGUGGGUGGCAUGUGGCCUGUGGCGGGUGGCUGGAAGCUUCCAGUAAAUAUACCUGAAUGGCACAAAGAAGUGUUUGAAGCUUAAAUCGCCUUUAGGACAAUGGCGCCGCCCGGGUAGCAGGUCUCGUCCGCCUGUGGGCGGCGACUUUGGCGUGUGGGCGAUUCCGGCUAAGAACGACAAGGUUAAGCUCUUGAUGGAAUUAUAGAAUUAUACGUAGUUUAAAUAUACAUAUACAUAUGUACACUGGUACGAUGGGACUAUCUUUUUCGAGUGUCCACUCAAGAUCCUUCAAGUAUGAUGCAGGCCUGAGUAUAACGAAACCCAAUCCUUAGUUGCAGUGUAGUUUGAGGGAGAGCCAGGGCCUGUUACAGGGCCGGGGUCCAAAUUAAAGUUGAAUAACUUUUUAAAAACUUAAAUUUCGCUCACAGUCGAUAAAAACUCGUCUGUUUUCGUGGAUGGGGCGUGGGGGUAAGGAGAGGGCGACACUGGUGCAACAAAUUAAAUGCAUUAAAUGUCAACUCUGGCACUUGUUGUCCACGCUGAUAGUUUCAUUAAAUGGAAAAGCGAAUUUUUGCGCAUUUUCCGCAAAAGUACGAGUAUUUUUUCCCCGCGUUUUUCCUGCUUUUUCCUGCUUUUUUUGUCGUAGUCUUUGAGGGGACGGACGAGCAGGCAAAUCCCACUGAGACGCCGUCUGUGUCUCAUCUUGAGCAACCUCCAGGCAGACAGUAUUUUUCUGGCUGUUUUCCUCUGUCUUGUGUCUCUUUAUCUGAGACUCCAAGCUGCAAGGCAUGCCAUUUUCCAUUUGCCAUAUUUCAAUUGCAUUUUAAUUCAUUUGAGUGUGUUCCAGUGUGUGUCUUCUGUAUGCCACAUUUUCUGCGGUUUCUUUGCCCUUUUUGAGGGGAGACACCCUGCCAGCCAGGAGCCUAAACAAAUUCUAUAAAAAUAAAACAAUUCAUUAAAGAUUUUUAAAGCCCCAAAUAUAUCAGAAAGAGUCGCUUUGGUUCAUGGAGUAGAACGGGGUCUAUAUUUCUUCAAAAUGAUGCCACGCGGGCACUUUUGUGGCACUGAAUCGCAUACGCAUCCGCGGGUUCCACAUCUGGGGAAGCCAGAAAGGUAUGAUCCAGCAGCCACUGGAGUGUGGCACCGUUGUCCGUCCUCUCGUACCAAAGGCAGGAAUACACAGAAGCAGGAGCCUUCGUCUGCCAAGUAUUUUGAAGUGUUUGUCAUUUGAAUUUGAAUUAAAUUUCGACUUAUUGUUUUCAUGUGAUGCUGUAACAUCUUCGUGGAAUGCUGCCACCGAUGGACUCUGGAUAAUCAAUCUGUAAUCUGUGAGUUCAUCAUUUGUGUGCCUCCUGAGUGAAGGUAGAGCUAGUCGUAUAAUCACAAAAAUGCAACUAUACUAGUUUUA
rnacentral:sRNA from 1 species